GUUCUGUUCCAGCGACUUUGGU
rnacentral:misc_RNA from 1 species